rnacentral:rRNA from 1 species
AGUGAACGCUGGCGGUAGGCCUAACACAUGCAAGUCGAACGGCAGCACAGGAGAGCUUGCUCUCUGGGUGGCGAGUGGCGGACGGGUGAGGAAUACAUCGGAAUCUACUCUGUCGUGGGGGAUAACGUAGGGAAACUUACGCUAAUACCGCAUACGACCUACGGGUGAAAGCAGGGGACCUUCGGGCCUUGCGCGAUUGAAUGAGCCGAUGUCGGAUUAGCUAGUUGGCGGGGUAAAGGCCCACCAAGGCGACGAUCCGUAGCUGGUCUGAGAGGAUGAUCAGCCACACUGGAACUGAGACACGGUCCAGACUCCUACGGGAGGCAGCAGUGGGGAAUAUUGGACAAUGGGCGCAAGCCUGAUCCAGCCAUACCGCGUGGGUGAAGAAGGCCUUCGGGUUGUAAAGCCCUUUUGUUGGGAAAGAAAUCCAGCUGGCUAGUACCCGGUUGGGAUGACGGUACCCAAAGAAUAAGCACCGGCUAACUUCGUGCCAGCCGCCGCAGAAA